GAAAAAUAAAAAUACAAAGAGCAUGGAAAUCACAUCCUUCAAAAUCAAAUCUUGCAUUCUGCCAGUGUUAACCUUUGUCCAUUCCAAAUUGAAUAUCUGGAUUUGUAGACAUCCAAUUGAUGCAAACUCAAUUGUUUUGGAUUCCUGACUCAAAGGCCUACAAACACUCCAAAUUGCAGUAAUGUCAUAUGAGGGAGAUAUGAGUUUUCAAAGAUAAUAACAACUGAAUUCUGCUAGCAAACAGGUUUCGUGAAGAAACGAAUCCAAAUUACAUCCCGAAGCAUCCAAACCGACAUCCAAGUUUUAAUUUCAGCAAUUUAGCUCCUCUAGUAAAUCAAUCUAGAAGGUCAAGGAAGGCAGCCACCAACCUCAAAUCACCAACCACAAACCAACUGCCAACCACCAGCCGCCUUCAC
rnacentral:lncRNA from 1 species